AUGGGCUUAUAUGGUUCCAACGAACCAGGAUUAGAUUUGGAAAGAUUAAUUAAUCAAUCAUACCCUGCAACCUUGGAAAUACUUUUAUAUUUUGGCUUCCUUAUUGCUUAUGCUGUCAAAUUGCCGAUUAUACCCCUACAUACGUGGUUACCAGAUACCCAUGGGGAAGCACAUUAUAGUACAUGUAUGCUUUUAGCGGGAAUAUUAUUAAAGAUGGGAGCAUAUGGAUUGAUUCGGAUCAACAUGGAAUUGUUACCUCAUGCUCAUUAUCUAUUUUCGCCCUGGUUAGUAAUAAUAGGAGCGAUCCAAAUAAUCUAUGCAGCUUCAACUUCUCUUGGUCAACGAAAUUUCAAAAAAAGAAUAGCUUAUUCCUCUGUAUCUCACAUGGGUUUCAUAAUUAUAGGAAUUGGUUCCAUAACCAACAUUGGACUCAAUGGAGCUAUUUUACAAAUAUUAUCCCAUGGAUUUAUUGGUGCUACACUUUUUUUCUUGGCAGGAACCGCUUCUGAUAGAAUGCGUCUUGUUUAUCUCGAAGAACUGGGGGGAAUAUCCAUCUCCCUUUCUUUUGGAUUUCCAUUCUAUUUAGAUAUGGUGUAUGUAGAUCUAAUUCUUAUAUAA
rnacentral:rRNA from 1 species